rnacentral:misc_RNA from 1 species
GAAAUGCGAUAAGUAAUGUGAAUUGCAGAAUUCAGUGAAUCAUCGAAUCUUUGAACGCACAUUGCGCCCGCCGGCACUCCGGCGGGCAUGCCUGUCCGAGCGUCAUUUCAACCCUCAGGCCCGAACCCCCCCGGGGGGGCGGGCCUGGUGUUGGGGCUCGGGGUCCGCGAGGCCCCCGUCCCCUAAAUCCAGUGGCGGUCGCGCCGCACCCUCCCCUGCGUAGUAGCACACCUCGCACCGGAGAGCAGCGCGUCCACGCCGUGAAACCCCCAAUUUACCAAGGUUGACCUCGGAUCAGGUAGGAAUACCCGCUGAACUUAA